rnacentral:rRNA from 1 species
UCGGGAAUAUUGGACAAUGGGCGAAAGCCUGAUCCAGCCAUGCCGCGUGUGUGAAGAAGGUCUUCGGAUUGUAAAGCACUUUAAGUUGGGAGGAAGGGCAGUAACCUAAUACGUUGCUGUCUUGACGUUACCGACAGAAUAAGCACCGGCUAACUCUGUGCCAGCAGCCGCGGUAAUACAGAGGGUGCAAGCGUUAAUCGGAAUUACUGGGCGUAAAGCGCGCGUAGGUGGUUUGUUAAGUUGGAUGUGAAAUCCCCGGGCUCAACCUGGGAACUGCAUUCAAAACUGACAAGCUAGAGUAUGGUAGAGGGUGGUGGAAUUUCCUGUGUAGCGGUGAAAUGCGUAGAUAUAGGAAGGAACACCAGUGGCGAAGGCGACCACCUGGACUGAUACUGACACUGAGGUGCGAAAGCGUGGGGAGCAAACAGGAUUAGAUACCCGAGUAGUCCCUGAGCGGGCUGGCAAGGCG